GCUGCCGAUAUGUACAUGCAGGAUGUACUACAACCAAAAAGUGUCUUUUUCACUGUAUGUAUGAUUUAAUGUCUUACACAUGUUCUACAUCAAUUACCUUCUACAAUUGUAUCCAGGGACGCCGGAACGAUGUGACGGCAAGGGUGGCAGAUUUUCGUGAAAGGGCACUUUUGAAUUGAUAUGUACUAAGAGAUGUUUACAAAACAUCGGGAGUUGAACUUCACCUAAUCAUGUUUUCUAUUUAUUGGAUGAUAGGGGUGUGAGGGGGUUCUCCGCCAGGCGAUUAUGCUAUUCAUGAAGCUCGAUGACUGCAAUUCUUGCGUUUUCUGAAGCAAAUUAGUAAAAGAAUUCCACUAACAUUUCUGACAAUUCGCUAUUUUGCCAAGGCAAUCCUUUAAAUUGAAAGGACACCUUUGCCCCCCUUGCCCCUCGUGGUAAAGGGCAACAGGGGUGGCUGCCAUUCCUGCCCCCCCCCCCAGUUGCGGCAUCCCUGGUUGUAUCUUACAUCUCAUCUUAUAAAAAGUGCACUAUAAAGUAUAAACUUGGUGAUCACAUGUGUGAGUUUGCCACUGAAUACAGAACAAUGUUUAUAUAAAAAUACUAUAAAGUCGGUUUUUGUUCCAAUUAUCGUUUUACAUGUAUAAUGCCACCUUCAUGGCUUCCCCUAUCACAAACCAACCGAACAAUCUGCCGAUGGGUAGACAAAAUGUAUUUGUUGACAUUUCUGUUUAAUAUGCUUCAGAUGACACCAUUCAUUGACAUGAUUAAGAUUGCACUCUGUCAGAACUGAA